CCGAAUGGAAUGCUGACGGAGUCCUUGGCGACGGACAGGGCCGGCGCCGGGGCCGCGCUGGGUCACGCUAACCAUACAUGUUCUUAGGCAGAUUGGAAGGGUUGGAUAUGGGGGGGAGGGAAAGAGUUAAGGAAGUCCAAACUUGAGGGCGAGCAGCGCUAAAUCUGCGUUAGGGCUUUGCUUGUGAGUGUAAAUCUCCACGAUGGGAGUCAUGAGAGAGCGUGUCUUCGGCAGCUUGAGACCUGGCAUGGCAUAAUGAUGUCACACGGACUGGAGCCUAAGAGAGCGGAUUGAUGGGAGGUAUGCCGUCGUGUGGUCAUGGUCAAGAUGGCGGCGAGAUGGCGAGUGGUCAGGGAGUAAUGUGUUUCUCUUAGGUGUAUAAGCUGCUGGCGAUUGUGAGUCCCUCGCUGACACGUGCACAAAAGGAGUGGCCACCCAACGAGCGACGCACAAGACGUUUCAACGCUUUUUGUUACAAGUUUCGCUUCGCGAGCUUACACGGCCCAUACGAGCCAAGAGGCUCAUGAGCGGCCGAGCUGGAAACAAAACCAGAAGGUACAUGCAAACCAAAAACGAGGAGGAAAACGGCCGUACGACAUUCUAAAUAAAGCGCAUCAGGGCGAAGAAAUCAGGGUUGCCCAGAUGUUCCUGGAGGGGUAAGCCUGCUGUUCGGCGGAAUACGGGGACAAACAACCGAUUGGGAGACAAAUCCGCAACCGCCGGCUGCUGGUGGUUCAACCAUUUGUCCUCUAACGCAGUGUCAAAGUAGCAUGAUCAAGGUGCUGUAUCCCCCAGAUCGCCCCGCACAAGCACUCGAAGUGGAUCUUUGCUGCUGGACCCCACCAGCAGCGUGGCUACAUAUCUUAGAUGACAACGAGUUUAGAGAUUUUUUUAGUAACUUACACCUGCGAGCCGACCAGCAGUGGAGUUGACGCCGCCAUUGAUUCCAGGCACAUUCCACUGGAUGCUACUGUUGGUGGCGGGUGCUGAAUUCGAGACUGGUGCAGUAGUCGGCAUGGCUGAGAAGGAUGAGGGUGCCCCAAAGCACACUUUUGCUCUAAAGCAACUGGACAAUGAUCCCUGGCUUGUGGCCCACUAAUAAGCCUUGCGCACGCUGGCGCAAAGUAGUAGUGGGCCCGCUAGCUCUCACAAAAAAAAUAAUUUUGUGGCCACAAUUGGACGGCAUUUUCUCCGGAGCUUCAGCAGCCGCAAUAGUGAUAUGUCUACCCCUCCCCUCACUUCGCUGCCACCAUUCAUUCGUUCUCGGCUUCAUACUCCAGGGCACAUUAUCGAGGGUGUACCUUGGCCUCGCUUGCUGCUCCUGAAUAAGCCUCUGCAGGAUGAUAAGCCCCUCCGUUAGUCUAGGAGCUUUCGAAGGACACGAGCCGAAACCUAGCUAUACUCAUUGAUGACCCCCAAUGUCGCACCGCUGUGUCCCUAGAAGCCCGCAGUGGUUCCGCUGGUGACACGCCCCUCCAGAACUAUAUCUGAAGUAGCUGUCGUACAGUACGGCAUAUACCGUUAAUACAUACGUGUGCUACGGCGCUCUCACGGCGUUCCAAGAGGCCUUUUUGGCGGCCAGCUACUCCAAAUGAUAUUGAAACUGUUCAACUGCGGAGCGGCUGCAUGAGUAAAAUUUCUUGAAAGUCGAUGAGAUUCAAAAACGCUCCAUAAACGUAGCUGAUGCUGACUGAGAACUUUCUGUGUCUGAGAAACAUCACAAGACGGCUAGGCGCAUGUACGGGGGCACAUGACGUGGCGUGGACUGGCCACCCAUUGGCCGAGGGCAGGAGAAGGUAGGCCGGGACCCGCGAGGGCCCGCAUGAGGUAUCAGACUUCUUGCAAGAUGGCUCAUAUCCUAAUAGCCUGGUCAUCAUCCAGCAAGGCACCUACCGCAGGUUCCGUGCCAUUCUCCUUCACUACCCUGGCAAGUUUCAUCUUGUAGCGUUGACAAGCUUCAAACAGGCGUGCUCUUCCUCUGCUGUGCUGUCUUUUCACCCCGCAGCGCCGCAAUCGAUUUAUUUGGCGGGGAGUUGUACCCUCCACUUUGGCUUCGGGAACCUAGAGCACCGUCUGAGGUGUGCUCGUAAGCUACAUCAGCUCAGGUUGUGUCUACCUACACUGUGAAACAUUGCUAUAUAAGGGCACCACAACCCACUAACUCGACGCUUAAGGGCGCAGAAGAUAGCAAAGCAAAAGGAGCAAAAGGAGCAAAAGGAGAGACAUGCUCAUUCAAGCUUGUCAACACUGCAAGAGGAAACCUCGCCAGGACAGCGAAGGAGAACGGAUGUACGGUUGCGGUUGUACGACUGCCGUCAGGGAGCAUUGCCGAGGUAGAAGUUGGGAAGCACGGGCUUAUAAUUUUGCACAUAGGCAGCUGCAUUCAUGCUAG
rnacentral:lncRNA from 1 species